rnacentral:lncRNA from 12 species
GGGAGGUCACCCGGGCCGGGGAGGGGUGGGGAGCUGGUGGUUCUGGGGACAGAGCUUCCAUGUGGGAGGAUGAGGAAGGUCUGGAGAUGGACGGUGGGGUUGCACAGUACCGGGAGUGUGCAGAAUGCCACCGAGUGUACAAGUAAAGCGGUCCGGGUGGCUAGUUUUAUGCUGUGUUUCAUGGAGCACAGUUAAGACAAAGGAACCUGUAGGCGCUCUGUGGUGAUAGGAGAUGGAGUGGGAGAAGGAGAGCAAACAACGCUGCAGGAGAGCCAGUUGUGCCCCAGGGACACAGACAAGGGAGGGUGCUAUUGAGGUAAAACCUGCUCGAGGGGGUGAGGCCAGCCCCUUUGUGGGCCUCGCCUCUAGGAAAUGGAUGCUUUGCAGAUCUCCAGCCCUGGACAAGCGAAGACAGGAGGGGACCACAUUCCAGGAUCACUUGUACAGGAGCUGUGCAAAGUGCUUUACAGAGGACAACUUGGGGAACCCCCAGAACCCUGGAGACCUACAGUGGUAUAAUGAAGUAAGUACAGAGUGAGUUAGCCACCAUCCACCAUGCAGGACACAGAAGAAGCAGGAUUCCAACCCCAACAGAUUGUUCCAGAAUCCUCACUCUCACUCUGUCACCAACCAGACGCCACCACCCUCACCCUUCCCCGGCUUCAUCUCCCCACCCCAUAUCCAUGACUGCACAACCAUGCUGCAAUUAACCUGUGCUGUCAGGGGUAUUUAUUAUCUCAUGUGUUCAUAAACCUUUUAUGGCUAUAUAGCUGACCACAGUGUAGACCUCAUUUCCCUAUUUUUAUUAGAAAUUACCUUGAGGGCUAGGAGAGAGGGGAUGGCAUGCUUCCAGUUACGGUGAAUCUAGUUCUGGACCAAUAUUGGGAAUAGAUAGUCCAGCAAAGGCUUCUUCUCCCACUUCUAGGUACAAGAGCCAGCCUUGGAGAUGUGGCUUGAAUAGUAAAAUAGAGAAUUAAGAGAGUUUCACAGGUUGAGGAUGUUUCUCUUUCUGGAAGCAUUCCAGACAGUAAAUGAGUCAGGACUGGUGAACUCAGAACUUCACCCUUAAGGGAUGUAGCCACUGGGAACAAUAACAGCAGGAGGCAGCCGGAUGGUGUGUGCCCACUGAUGGGAGAAUCCAUCGCUGCCCACAGAGCAGUCUUGCCAAACAUCUCAACCUCACUGUACUCCAGUUUCCAGGAUUUCUCAACCUUGGCACUACUGAUGCUGUGGAGUCACAGUUUUUGUGUGGGGCUGCCUGCACAUCACAGAGGCCGAGUGGCACCCCUGCUUCCACCCACCAGAUGCCAGU